rfam:TPA: Bos taurus chromosome 15, whole genome shotgun sequence.
UCCCUGGUGGUCCAGUGGCUAAGACUCUACACUCCCAAUGCAGAUGGCCCAGGUUCAACCCCUGGUCAGGGAA